AAUAAGCUGUAUUAUGAAACAUU
rnacentral:piRNA from 1 species